AGGAAAAGAAACCAACAGGGAUUGCCCUAGUAACGGCGAGUGAAGCGGCAACAGCUCAAAUUUGAAAUCUGGCGCAAGCCCGAGUUGUAAUUUGUAGAGGAUGCUUCUAGGUAGCGACCGGUCUAAGUUCCUUGGAACAGGACGUCAUAGAGGGUGAGAAUCCCGUAUGUGACCGGCCCGCACCUUCUACGUAGCUCCUUCGACGAGUCGAGUUGUUUGGGAAUGCAGCUCUAAAUGGGAGGUAAAUUUCUUCUAAAGCUAAAUACCGGCCAGAGACCGAUAGCGCACAAGUAGAGUGAUCGAAAGAUGAAAAGCACUUUGGAAAGAGAGUUAAAAAGCACGUGAAAUUGUUGAAAGGGAAGCGCUCACAACCAGACUUCUGGGCGGUGUUCCGCCGGUCUUCUGACCGGUCUACUCGCCGUCCCGAGGCCAACAUCAUCUGGGACCGCUGGAUAAGACCUCAGGAAUGUAGCUUCCCUCGGGAAGUGUUAUAGCCUGUGGUGAUGCGGCGCGUCUCGGGUGAGGUCCGCGCUUCGGCAAGGAUGUUGGCGUAAUGGUUGUCAGCGGCCCGUCUUGAAACACGGACCAAGGAGUCUAACAUCUAUGCGAGUGUUCGGGUGUCAAACCCCUACGCGUAAUGAAAGUGAACGGAGGUGGGAAGCGCAAGCUGCACCAUCGACCGAUCCUGAUGUCCUCGGAUGGAUUUGAGUAAGAGCAUAGCUGUUGGGACCCGAAAGAUGGUGAACUAUGCCUGAAUAGGGUGAAGCCAGAGGAAACUCUGGUGGAGGCUCGCAGCGGUUCUGACGUGCAAAUCGAUCGUCAAAUUUGGGUAUAGGGGCGAAAGACUAAUCGAACCAU
rnacentral:rRNA from 1 species